UACGUAGGGUGCGAGCGUUGUCCGGAUUUAUUGGGCGUAAAGAGCUCGUAGGCGGUUUGUCGCGUCGGCCGUGAAAUCUCCACGCUUAACGUGGAGCGUGCGGUCGAUACGGGCAGACUUGAGUUCGGUAGGGGAGACUGGAAUUCCUGGUGUAGCGGUGAAAUGCGCAGAUAUCAGGAGGAACACCGGUGGCGAAGGCGGGUCUCUGGGCCGUAACUGACGCUGAGGAGCGAAAGCGUGGGGAGCGAACAGG
rnacentral:rRNA from 1 species